AAAAAAAAAAAAAAAAAAAAAAGUCUAAUGUGACCUAUGUACGUGCCGACACAAGUUACUAUGGACUGUCUGUCUGAGAUUUAAAGUGAGACUCGGGUUUUUUCCCCUCCAUUUCUCUAUUUGUGUAACACAGAGUUGGGCACAUAGUAGGCCCUGAAUUUUGGCUUCGAUUUGCAUAUGCUAGUUUGAUGAAACUGAUGACAAAGUUUGAAGCUUCACGAGUUGGAAGAACUUGGCCACAUCUAAUUCAGAGAAGCAAGAGAUUCAGGGACGCUAGACUUGGACGGCUGAAUAAUAUGGGAUGUGGUUCAAGGACCAUCGAGCAUGUCAGGCCAUCACUGCAGACUCCCUGUAACUCGUGAAGUGGGACAUAUGGCUACCUUCUUGUUCCCCACUGUGGAGAGGAGGGGAAUAAACAUCUUCACUGUGGCCUGUCGGAUUUCUUUCACCUUAGGCCAGUCCCAUAACAAUGGCCAUCGAGAGAGCACAUGGAGUGCCCCUGGCCCUGCGCUGGCCUGCCAUGGAAAAGCAGUCUUAGAAGAAUCACUGUCUAAGGGUGGCUUUAAUGCUACAAAAAUGUGGGCUAAGUGAGGUCUGGGGUAGGAAACGGCACAGUUUAGGAGACCAUCCUCUUCAUCUGAAGCCCAAGGACACGGUCUGCACCAAAUCCUGCCACUCUGGAAACCUCUCAGGAUGUCGUCAGUGGGGAAGUUAGAAGGCUUCAGGUUGGAGUUGAGGAAGAGCAACCGUAACGCAUUCCUUUACCCAGGUGAGAGCUGAAACUGGAUUCAGGGUCCAGCACUGAUUGUGAACCUUCUUGGGCCAGGCUGCGCCAGGCGUGGCAGAGACCACAGACUUGGGUAAGGCCGCAGGUUCUCUGGAAGCACCUCGUCCAACCCAGGUGACAGUAGGGGGCAAGCAAGAUGAGGCCACAAAGGUAGGAUGUUGGGCAGCAGGCGAAGUGCUGUGCCCAGCCUCAGUUGCUGUGGGAAGGAGAGAGCAGAGCAGGCUGGGGAGAGCGGAAAGCACAGCUUGGAGCACUGCUCUCAAACCUGAGUCCGUGCUGGAGUUAACUGUAGGGCCCCGCCCCGGAGUUUCUGGUUCACUAGGUCCUGAGCGGGGCCUGAGAAAGUAUGUUUUGACCAGCCCGGGUGCUUACUGAUGCUCUGGCCAGGGUCCACACUUUGAGACCCACUGACGUAGAGGAAGUGAUGCUUAAAUUGAGCCAGGGCUAGGGUAUGAAUUGGGGCAGAUGGGUGAGCGGAGGCAGCAAAUUCUCAGUGGAAGUUGCGGCAUGGACAGAGGUAUGGAGAGAAAGCAAGGGGUUAUGUUGGGAAAACCCACAUAGUCCAGCUGGAGAAACAGUGGUAAAUAAGGAUGGAGUGGAAUUGGGAGAAAACCUUGAAAUACUACUUCGUGGAGCCAGUGCCUACUUGGGAGGUAAUCAAGGAGCCCAACGGGUUUGGAGCGGAAAAGACAUCUAACCAUAAUUACAUUGCUGCGAAAUCUAGCAGCAGCAGUCGCCCAAACUAAUUGAUUAGCACCACCUGCCAGGAGAGCUGUGUUGAGAAGGAUUCUGAGGCUGAGAACAGACCCAGCACUGGGAUUCGUGGUGUUUUCGCUGUGAGUAGAGAAAUGGAAGGGUGGUAAUUUCACUAUGUGCCAUCCCCAGACUAGAGGGGGGACAUGUUAGGAGAACAUCAGAAUACCUGAGAUAAACAGUAAUCCGGAACUGAUGAGUGGCGUUCCUUCGAGCAUAUGUAAGGACUUAAUAUAGGGUAGCACAGUGGAAGCAAAUGUAAAAGAUAUUGCUAAGGUAGAAUUUGCUAGAUACGGGCAGUAACGGAUUCAUUUAUUCAGCAAAAAUUGGUGGCCCGAAGGCAGGGGUACAGGAAGAUAUAAACGUUGCUCACUGGGAACUCAGAGCCUAGAGGGGAAAGCGAACAAGGUCCCCACACAGUUGGGCCCCCUGGCCAUACAUCCGUGAGAGACUUUCUAGAGGAGAUGUCUGACCUAGUCCCAAAGCGUUGGUGAAAGUGCUGCAGAGACCUGCUGGGGUGUCAGGCAGGCCCAGGGGCGGCGAGCAUGGACUGGGGAAGAGGGCUCGGCACGGAGGGGAGUCUGUACGGAGCUGCAGCGCCUGUCGGCUGCCGGGUUGCAGACCGUAACAGCUGUGACAGCCUGAUAGCGGCCACGUGAUGAGAGCCCAGGGGUCCCUG